UACGUAGGGGGCUAAGCGUUGGUCCGGAUUUAUUGGGCGUAAAGAGGCGUUGUUGAUGGACGGGCCAGGUAGGUCUGGUGGUGAAAACUCGAGGCUUAACCUCGAAGAUGUCAGUCGGAAACCAUCUGGCUGAGUCCGGAAGAGGAGAGUGGAAUUCCUGGGAUGUAGCGGUGAAAUGACGCAGAUAUCAGGAAGAACACCAAUGGCGAAACAGCUCUCUGGGACCGGUACUGACGCUGAGACGCGAAAGCGUGGGGAGCGAACAGG
rnacentral:rRNA from 1 species